UACGAAGGGGGCUAGCGUUGUUCGGAAUCACUGGGCGCAAAGGGCGCGUAGGCGGCCGCUCAAGUCGGGGGUGAAAGCCUGUGGCUUAACCACAGAAUUGCCUUCGAUACUGUUUGGCUUGAGACCGGAAGAGGUGAGUGGAACUGCGAGUGUAGAGGUGAAAUUCGUAGAUAUUCGCAAGAACACCAGUGGCGAAGGCGGCUCACUGGUCCGGUUCUGACGCUGAGGCGCGAAAGCGUGGGGAGCAAACAGG
rnacentral:rRNA from 1 species